rnacentral:misc_RNA from 1 species
UUAUUUAUUAUACGAUACUCAGACGACAAAUACUAGGGAGUUUAGGGUCCUCUGGCAGGCACUGGCCAGCCUGAGCCAGCGGUCGCAAGACGGGCCUGCCAAAGCAACAAAGGUAUGUAAACAAAGGGUGGGAGAUCUACCCCGAAGGGCAAGUUCUCAGUAAUGAUCCUUCCGCAGGUUCACCUACGGAAA